AUAUGAUAUCUUUUCCAAAUUUUAAGUAAAUUUGCCAAACUUUUAUUGAAAACAACUAGAAAAAAUGUUUCAUUUGUCAAGCUCUGAAAGGUACCUGUUAAAAUUAACACACGUAUUUCUAAAACACCCUGUAUUGUUAUUUUAAUAUAUUUUUAAGACAACAUUAUUUCGUUUAUUUAUACAAUUUGUCAUGUAUUGUUAUGUUUAUCCUAAAUGUAAAAUGGCUUUGGAUUGGAUGUUAUGACGUGAGAGGUGAUGAUGAGUUUACUUUCUGGAGCAAGUUUUAUAAAAAAAAAUAGAUAAUCACAUUGUGUCAAUUUAAUAAAAUAAGUACCUAAUAAAGUCAUCAUUCGGGUUAUCACUAGUUUCAAGUUACUUCACAAAUUUUUCUUGUUUUUAUGUAACCUGCGGUGUUGGUUUUCCCACCUAAGGCACAGUUUUAAAAACUUUAAGGUCAUGAUAGUGUGCAUGUGCUUAUUGAGAUGUGUAGUACUUACAAAGCUUCAACUCUUCGAUUUGCAAUGUUUUCGACGUACUGUUAUCUAGUAUUGUUAUUUCUACUAAAAGACACGACUAGUGCCUAUGAAUAAUCCCUCCAAACAGAGAGUCCAAUCCCUUCAGGAGUGAAUUUACUUCCUAAUAGUUCUGUAUGUGGAAGUGUAUAUCAGAAUAAAAUUUAUUCCGGAAAGUUUGCUGAGAUCGGUGAAUUACCCUGGAUGGCUCUACUGGAAUACAAAAGUGAUGGCAAAAUUACACUUGAUUGUGAGGGUUUUUUAAUAAACAAGCGAUAUGUUGUGACUGCAGCACGUUGUAUUAAUGAACAACUAAAAAGCGUCCGCUUGGGUGAGACGGAUCUCGAAAAUGAUCCAGACUGCAUCGGAGUGAAUGAAUUCAUAGAAUGCCCUCCACCGAUAAUCAGUAUCCCCAUAGAUCAGAAAAUUAUUUAUAACAUGUCAAGUUCACAAUCACAUUAUCACAUAGCACUUCUUAGAUUAAAAUCUGAAGUAAAGUUUUCUGAUUUUGUCCAACCAAUUUGUCUCCCUAUUAAUAGAUCCUACAAUGCAGGUAAACAACUUAUGGUGUCUGGCUGGGAAAGAAAUAAGGCAAAUAGGAAACAACAAGAAAUUAAGGGGUUUUGUAACGGUUAGUAACUCAUCUGACUGUGAAAGGUGAAUGCAAUUUAGAAAAUCGACAAGCGCUUCACUUAAAUCUUACCAAAUACAUGCCUUGGAUUGUUAAUAAUUUAAAACCCUAAAUACGCGACAUUUUGUUAGGAAUGGUAGCGUAUUUAAACGAUCAAAGUUUUAUUUCUUUAAUUAUUAAGUCGAUUAUAAGUUCAAUGUAAAUAAAACAGUGACCCACUCAAAUUCUCAAUUUUUUUUACCGGGAACAGACAUGGUGAAUAGGUGUGUGAGGAAAAAAACGAAUUACGUUGUAAUUUCAGUGUGCUAAAA